rnacentral:rRNA from 1 species
AGAGUUUGAUCCUGGCUCAGGACGAACGCUGGCGGCGUGCUUAACACAUGCAAGUCGAAGGAAAGGCCUUCAGCUUGCUGGAGGUACUCGAGUGGCGAACGGGUGAGUAACACGUGGGGAUCUGCCCUGCACUUCGGGAUAAGCCUGGGAAACUGGGUCUAAUACCGGAUAGGACCCCCUUUAGUGUGGGGGGUGGAAAGUUUUUUCGGUGCAGGAUGAGCCCGCGGCCUAUCAGCUGUUGGUGGGGUAAUGGCCUACCAAGGCGUCGACGGGUAGCCGGCCUGAGAGGGUGGACGCCACAUUGGGACUGAGAUACGGCCCAGACUCCUACGGGAGGCAGCAGUGGGGAAUAUUCACAAUGGGCGCAAGCCUGAUGCAGCGACGCCGCGUGGGGGAUGACGGCCUUCGGGUUGAAACCUCUUUCGACAGGGACGAAGCUUUUUGUGACGGUACCUGUAUAAGAAGCACCGGCAACUACGUGCCAGCAGCCGCGGUAAUACGUAGGGUGCGAGCGUUGUCCGGAAUUACUGGCGUAAAGAGCUCGUAGGUGGUUUGUCGCGUCGUCUGUGAAAUUCCGGGGCUUAACUCCGGCGUGCAGGCGAUACGGGCAAUACUUGAGUGCUGUAGGGGAGACUGGAAUUCCUGGUGUGCGGUGAAAUGCGCAGAUAUCAGGAGGAACACCAAUGGCGAAGGCAGGUCUCUGGGCAGAACUGACGCUGAGGAGCGAAAGCAUGGGUAGCGAACAGGAUUAGAUACCCUGGUAGUCCUGCCGUAAACGGUGGGCGCUAGGUGUAGGGGUCUUCCACGACUUCUGUGCCGUAGCUAAGCAUUAAGCGCCCCGCCUGGGGAGUACGGCCGCAAGGCUAAAACUCAAAGGAAUUGACGGGGCCCGC